rnacentral:rRNA from 1 species
ACGAACGCUGGCGGCGUGCCUAAUACAUGCAAGUCGAGCGGAAUGAUGAAGAAGCUUGCUUCUUCUGAUUUUAGCGGCGGACGGGUGAGUAACACGUGGGCAACCUACCUUGUAGAUUGGGAUAACUCCGGGAAACCGGGGCUAAUACCGAAUAAUCCAUUUUGCUUCAUGGCGAGAUGUUGAAAGACGGUUUCGGCUGUCACUACAAGAUGGGCCCGCGGCGCAUUAGCUAGUUGGUAGGGUAAUGGCCUACCAAGGCGACGAUGCGUAGCCGACCUGAGAGGGUGAUCGGCCACACUGGGACUGAGACACGGCCCAGACUCUUACGGGAGGCAGCAGUAGGGAAUCUUCCACAAUGGACGAAAGUCUGAUGGAGCAACGCCGCGUGAGUGAAGAAGGUUUUCGGAUCGUAAAACUCUGUUGUAAGGGAAGAACACGUACGAGAGUAACUGCUCGUACCUUGACGGUACCUUAUUAGAAAGCCACGGCUAACUACGUG